AACGAACGCUGGCGGCAUGCCUUACACAUGCAAGUCGAACGAGACCUUCGGGUCUAGUGGCGCACGGGUGCGUAACGCGUGGGAACCUGCCCUUAGGUUCGGAAUAACUCCCCGAAGGGGGUGCUAAUACCGGAUAAUGUCUUCGGACCAAAGAUUUAUCGCCUUUGGAUGGGCCCGCGUUGGAUUAGCUAGUUGGUAGGGUAAAAGCCUACCAAGGCGACGAUCCAUAGCUGGUCUGAGAGGAUGAUCAGCCACACUGGGACUGAGACACGGCCCAGACUCCUACGGGAGGCAGCAGUGGGGAAUAUUGGACAAUGGGCGAAAGCCUGAUCCAGCAAUGCCGCGUGAGUGAUGAAGGCCUUAGGGUUGUAAAGCUCUUUUACCCGGGAUGAUAAUGACAGUACCGGGAGAAUAAGCUCCGGCUAACUCCGUG
rnacentral:rRNA from 1 species